GAGUGACCAGUUGCUGGAGGUGGUUGGAUUGGAAGGAGCCAUGGAGAUGGGGCAAAUAUACACAGGUCUGAAAAGUGCUGGCCGGCGACUGGCUCAGUGCUCCUGCGUGGUCAUAAGGACUAGCAAGUCGCUGCCAAUGCAGAUCGAUGGGGAGCCAUGGAUGCAGACCCCAUGCACAAUAAAAAUUACACACAAGAAUCAAGCCCCAAUGCUGAUGGGUCCUCCUCCAAAAACCGGGUUAUUCUGCUCUCUCGUCAAAAGGACAAGAAACCGAAGCAAGGAAUAGUCCUGCAUUGUUUCAUUCUUAGAAAUCUAAUUAGCAUAAUUGGGCCAUGGAACACUUAUGCUGGAAAUCUUCGAAUCAUUUCAAGUCUUCUGCUCAUGCAAAAUCAUGGAAUUGUUUUAACAGUUUUUGUAACUGAGUUACUGUAAAAUUCAGCUAUUAGAAAAUUUAUUGUCUCUGUUUUUAUAGGUAUCUUUGCAUGAAGAAAGCAGAAGUUUACAUGAAGUGAUAUUGCAUAUUUUUGUUGCAUGCAUUCCCAUAGAUUUUUAUGUCUCCCACCCAUUUCUUCCCCAAUUUCCAUUACUAACCUGUGAGAAAAAUCUGUGCAACAUGAAAAGGGAAAUACCAUGGGAAAUGUGAUUCUCAGUGUGACUCCAGUCAUUACUAAGCAUUAAUCAGUAAUGCUACAUGGUCAUAAUUGCAGAUUGCUAUACUUUUCCCUUUUAGUGUCAGUGUCUCAAUGACCUAUGACUUGAGGAGAAACUUUUAAUUCAAAGAUUUUAUUAAAUAGUUGUCUAUGAUACCUUGCUAUAUAUAAAUAGUUUUUCUUCAACGUCUUAACUCUUCUCAGUGGAAAUUAAAAUAUCAGGUAUAAAGUGUUCUUGUGCUGAAAUAGAGAAAGUGGUUUUUAUUUUGCUUAGUUUUAUUUUUAAUUCCAGAAAAAAAGUGAAAACAUGUUACUUGGCAGUAAAGUGUAGUCAUAUGACAAGCCUUAUUCCUUUCUGCAUGAGAAUCUAGGGGAGAAUUCAUAAUCACACCAGUAACCAAAUUGAUGUUUUAAAACUAUGUGCCUAAUUAAUGUGUUUCCCACCAAAGAUUCAGAAAAAGAUGCCUGAGAUGAAUGGGUCAAUGUACAAUUAACGAAGCAUCGUGAAGUAAAUUUAUGGUUCUUAUGAUUAAUUUUGUGAUAACUAAAACUGCUGUAAGAGAGUGAGUUACCCAUUCAUUAUAGUUACAGUUCUCACCUUUCACAGACAGUAGACCAUACAACACAAUCAAAGAUCAAUAGCUGAUUUCUUGCCUUUUUUUUUUUUUUUUGGUCAUCUGUAAAUAUAGGUAUUCUGUAAUUUUUAAUGGAUCAGUUACAUUCAUAUGAAGGAAGUACAUGAUUGUAUCAGUUCUUUUCUAGUAUAAAUUGAUACCUGUGAUACCUGUAAUAAUAUUGAGCUCAUUGAAGCAAAUCAUGCAUGCAACUAGCCUUCUCCUCCUCACCUAUUCCAUUCCCAUCUCUAUGACAUUUCAAAUGUCGAUUUGGAUAUAAUGGGCUAGAUUGCUGUGGAAGGUGUUCAUUAUUGGAUUCUCUGAUUGUUUAAAGGAAUCAUGAAAUGGUUCCUUUUUUUCUUAGUGUUUCACUAAGCCUAACAUAGAAAGUGAAAUGCUUCUGAGCAGUUUUGGCAUUGUUCAUUCAUACCUACCUGCAGCCCAUCAUUGCAUGUUUUAUGUUUUCAAACAUGCCAUAAGGAAAACAAAUGCUUGACAUGCAUGAUUUAUUAGUUUCUCUCCACUCUGCAUUAAAGUGCUAAUGAUUUAUCAGUUCUAUUUUGUUAUUGAUUCAUUCAUCUCUGAAUAACAAAUAGCAUUUAGUGAUUCUGCUGAACACAGUUCUGUGCAUGGAUUUAUGCAUUUCAAGUGAAAUUGCUAUAAUUUUAGUCCUUUGGUUUGAAAACUCAACUGAAUGCUGUUAUAUCAAAUAGCUACUUGCAAGAAAUGUGCUAUAAUGGAAGAUUAUGUAUAAAGUGUAUUCUUUUAGUAUUCCAGGAACAUUGGAUAGUAAAUAUCAAUCAACAAUAAGUUUAAUUGCUUUUAAAAUAAAAGCUUUUGAAUAAAAUUAAGACAUAAUUUAGCAUUCCCAGGAAAAAUUAUGAUUACAAUUGCAAAUUUAGUACAGCAGUCAUUUGCCCUAGUAUAUAUAAAAAAAAAAGUUGUUUGGCAGAAGGGUAAUCUAGACCAAAAAGAAAUCUCAAAACAGUAGCAAAUGCAUUUCUGAUGUAAUGUUACAUAACACACACACUAAUUUUGUGUAUCUAUGGUUACAGGUAAUAAAUAUUUUCACAUGAAUUGACAAAAUUUUCUACAAUGGCAGGCAGGCUUUGUGUCAAAAACAUAUUUUGAAGCCACAAAUUAUUUUAUGUUCACUACAACAUACAAUUACAUCUUGGCUACCUUCUAUAGUAUGUCAUUUGAAGGCGGCAACAGUUUGUGAAUAAUUCCUAACAAUCUGUGCAAGGGAAAGCUGUUGGAUAGACAGUAGGAUAAGACACAUUAAACAACCUGCCUAUAAGGUUUCAAUAAUUGAAAUAAUGGGUUACUACUCCUCUUUAAUGUAGCUUCUUCGCUAAAAUUAGUGUUAAUAGUAGUUACAUUUUUAGUGGGUUGAAUUCAUUGUUACCAAUAAUAAAGGUUCAAAUAUGAAUCAAAUUGGACUUUUCCCAACUCUUUUUCUAAAGCUACUGACAUGCUUGCCCUUCAAGUGCACUACUCCUGGGGCUUAGGAAAUAGUUUUUCAAAACCUACUUUGAUGGAUUUGAAAUUAGAGAAGUUAUUCUCCCCAUUUUUUAAUGACAGUUCCAUGUGAAGAGCAUAUAUUUUAAGGAAAAUCUAAACAAAGUUCUAUGGUGCAUUAAAAUAUUGAAUAGUGAAUGUUAGCUUUACAAGAUGGAAACUUCUUUUAUGUAUGUAGGUGAGUGUUUGAGUCAUUGAGACAACCUCUUAAAUAUAAUAGACAACGUGGUAUAAAUUUUUAAGUGGAUGGAGCUUUUAAAUGAAAAAUAACACUGACUUUGGCAGAGGAAAGAGAGAGAAGAGAUAUGCACUGCUGAACAUUGUCAUACACUGAAUUGGUAAACAGAGAGAGAUUCCAGAAUAAUCCUAGGUAUCCACACUUCUAAGAAAUAGAUAUGGAGGUGUCUAUGUACAAUCAGAAAUUUUAAAGGAAGUAAAUGUUUUUUUUUUUCCAUUUCCAUGUGUAUACCAUGUGUAUUUGAUAUGAAAUACUGGUCAAUUUAUUGUGGUGGAAAGAGAUAUUUUGUAGGAGGUGGUAAAGCAACAUUUUAAAGUUUUUUUUUCAUUUUUGAAUAGGCUUACGUCUUCAUAGCCAGCAUAAAGCAAAAGGCUCAAAUGUUCAGUGUAGACAGUCUUCCACAGGCAGAAAUUUAAAUCCGUGAGGAAGAAUGGAUCACGUACAUGUUCCCACAUUUUGUUCUGUUUCCAUUUUUUACUGCAAUUGUUAGAGAAAGAAUCUGUUUUGAAUUUCAGACUGUAUCCUCCUUGAAUGAAACAUGAUUUUAGAUGGUUCCAUACCUUUUGUGUCAAUGUUAGUCUGUUGUUCAUUGGUUAUAGAAAGGAAAAUUAACUUUUCAUGGUACAUAUUACACACAAUUACUCCACACAGAAUUUGUAUUCUACAUUAAAAGAUUAAACCCUGGUAACAUACAUUGAGGUUGCAAACUUUAAGAAAAUAAAUAAAUAAAACCCUGUAAAAGAGUUUUUAUUUUGUGAAAGGCAGAAAUUACUCCUUAAAACUCACAAUUCAAUUGCACUGAGUUUAAAUAAAAUCUGAGGAAACUCACAUUUGAGAGAUUCUGCACAUCUUUAUUGUGUUUUAAAACAUGAACUUCAUUUAAUUACAGCAUCUUAACUAUUUUCUCAGAAAGUGCUAUAUACAAUAUUCUGCUUUUUGAAAUAAAAACAUAAACCACUCA